rnacentral:rRNA from 1 species
CCUACGGGUGGCAGCAGUGGGGAAUAUUGCACAAUGGGGGAAACCCUGAUGCAGCGACGCCGCGUGGGUGAAGAAGUAUUUCUGUAUGUAAAGCCCUAUCAGCAGGGAAGAAAAAUGACGGUACCUGAAGACGAAGCCCCGGCUAACUACGUGCCAGCAGCCGCGGUAAUACGUAGGGGGCAAGCGUUAUCCGGAUUUACUGGGUGUAAAGGGGGCGCAGACGGCGAUGCAAGCCAGGAGUGAACGCCCGGGGCCCAACCCCGGGACUGCUCUUGGAACUGCGUGGCUGGAGUGCAGGAGGGGCAGGCGGAAUUCCUGGUGUAGCGGUGAAAUGCGUAGAUAUCAGGAGGAACACCGGUGGCGAAGGCGGCCUGCUGGACUGCAACUGACGUUGAGGCCCGAAAGCGUGGGGAGCAAACAGGAUUAGAUACCCCUGUAGUC